UGGGGAAUUUUGCACAAUGGGGGAAACCCUGAUGCAGCGACGCCGCGUGAUUUAGAAGGCCUUCGGGUUGUAAAAAUCUUUUCUAUGGGAAGAAAAUGACAGUACCAUAGGAAUAAGGACCGGCUAAUUACGUGCCAGCAGCCGCGGUAAUACGUAAGGUCCGAGCGUUGUCCGGAAUCAUUGGGCGUAAAGGGUACGUAGGCGGGUAAGCAAGUUAGAAGUGAAAUCCUAUAGCUCAACUAUAGUAAGCUUUUAAAACUGCUCAUCUUGAGGUAUGGAAGGGAAAGUGGAAUUCCUAGUGUAGCGGUGAAAUGCGCAGAUAUUAGGAGGAAUACCGGUGGCGAAGGCGACUUUCUGGCCAUAACCUGACGCUGAGGUACGAAAGCGUGGGAAGCAAACAGG
rnacentral:rRNA from 1 species